AUGAACGCUGGCGGCGUGCCUAAUACAUGCAAGUCGAGCGAACAGAUGAGGAGCUUGCUCCUCUGACGUUAGCGGCGGACGGGUGAGUAACACGUGGAUAACCUACCUAUAAGACUGGGAUAACUUCGGGAAACCGGAGCUAAUACCGGAUAAUAUAUUGAACCGCAUGGUUCAAUAGUGAAAGACGGUUUUGCUGUCACUUAUAGAUGGAUCCGCGCCGCAUUAGCUAGUUGGUAAGGUAAUGGCUUACCAAGGCAACGAUGCGUAGCCGACCUGAGAGGGUGAUCGGCCACACUGGAACUGAGACACGGUCCAGACUCCUACGGGAGGCAGCAGUAGGGAAUCUUCAGCAAUGGGCGAAAGCUUGACGGAGCAACGCCGCGUGAGUGAUGAAGGUCUUCGGAUCGUAAAACUCUGUUAUUAGGGAAGAACAAAUGUGUAAGUAACUAUGCACGUCUUGACGGUACCUAAUCAGAAAGCCACGGCUAACUACGUG
rnacentral:rRNA from 1 species